AAACACCAAUUAUCUGCUCCCUAUUGAAGAUAACACUGUGCAUUUGCGACUUCAUUAACUGGGCUCUGUAGUCUUUUUUAAACGCGCUCACUUUUAUCCUGAUCUGCCCAGUGUUCUUAAAUAUUAGGUGCCACCAGGACGUUCAACAAGCGCAGUCUCUUUACCCUUCAUCAAUGCCAGAGUGGGUAAUGCAGAGAGUCAGGAGAAUCCCACUGGACGUGUGACUGAAACAAACACAUGGGACUGAGCCUGGGGGGCUGCAGGGGAGGGGCAGAGGCAGCCAGAACUUCACUCAACCAUCGAUUUCUUUUUUUUUCUUUGUAAGCAGAGCAUUUUAUCUGUAGCUGAAACUGCUUGGGAAGCACAUCGAGUCUGUAAGGCAAGAUCAUUUCCCCAGUGUGUGGCCACAU